UACGGAGGGGGCUAGCGUUGUUCGGAAUUACUGGGCGUAAAGCGCACGUAGGCGGCUAUCCAAGUUGGGGGUGAAAUCCCUGGGCUUAACCCAGGAACUGCCUUCAAAACUGGAUGGCUAGAGUCCGAGAGAGGUGAGUGGAAUUUCCAGUGUAGAGGUGAAAUUCGUAGAUAUUGGAAAGAACACCAGUGGCGAAGGCGGCUCACUGGCUCGGUACUGACGCUGAGGUGCGACAGCGUGGGGAGCAAACAGGAUUAGAUACCCGCGUAGUCC
rnacentral:rRNA from 1 species